rnacentral:rRNA from 1 species
ACUCCUACGGGAGGCAGCAGUGGGGAAUAUUGGACAAUGGGCGCAAGCCUGAUCCAGCCAUGCCGCGUGAGUGAUGAAGGCCCUAGGGUUGUAAAGCUCUUUCACCGGUGAAGAUAAUGACGGUAACCGGAGAAGAAGCCCCGACUAACUUCGUGCCAGCAGCCGCGGUAAUACGAAGGGGGCUAGCGUUGUUCGGAUUUACUGGGCGUAAAGCGCACGUAGGCGGACUAUUAAGUCAGGGGUGAAAUCCCGGGGCUCAACCCCGGAACUGCCUUUGAUACUGGUAGUCUUGAGUUCGAGAGAGGUGAGUGGAAUUCCGAGUGUAGAGGUGAAAUUCGUAGAUAUUCGGAGGAACACCAGUGGCGAAGGCGGCUCACUGGCUCGAUACUGACGCUGAGGUGCGAAAGCGUGGGGAGCAAACAGGAUUAGAAACCCUGGUAGUCCCAUGAU